rnacentral:rRNA from 1 species
GACAGAGGCCUCGAGCGUUAGGCGGAAUCACUGGGCUUAAAGCGUGUGUAGGCGGAUCGUUAAGUACCUUGUGAAAUCCCACGGCUCAACCGUGGAACGGGCUGGGUAUACUGGCGGUCUUGGGCCAUUCAGGGGCGACUGGAACAAGCGGUGGAGCGGUGAAAUGCGUAGAUAUCGCCUUGGAACGCCGAAGGUGAAAACAGGUCGCUGGGAUGUGCCGACGCUGAGACACGAAAGCCAGGGGAGCAAACGGG